rnacentral:rRNA from 1 species
UACAGAGGGUGCUAGUGUUGUUCGGAUUUAUUGGGCGUAAAGGGAGUGUAGGUGGUGGACAAAGUCAGUGGUGAAAUUUCGGGGCUUAACCCCGAACUUGCCUUUGAUACUGGUUCACUUGAGUAUGGAAGAGGGCGAUAGAAUUCCUGGUGUAGCGGUGGAAUGCGUAGAUAUCAGGAGGAAUACCAAUAGCGAAGGCAGUCGCCUGGGACAAUACUGACACUGAAACUCGAAAGCAUGGGGAGCAAACAGG